rnacentral:rRNA from 1 species
UACGGAGGGUGCAAGCGUUAUCCGGAUUUACUGGGUUUAAAGGGUGCGUAGGUGGGUUGGUAAGUCAGUGGUGAAAUCCCCGAGCUUAACUUGGGAACUGCCAUUGAUACUAUCAGUCUUGAAUACCGUGGAGGUCAGCGGAAUAUGUCAUGUAGCGGUGAAAUGCUUAGAUAUGACAUAGAACACCAAUUGCGAAGGCAGCUGGCUACACGGAUAUUGACACUGAGGCACGAAAGCGUGGGGAUCAAACAGG